rnacentral:rRNA from 1 species
GAUGAACGCUGGCGGCGUGCCUAAUACAUGCAAGUCGAGCGAACAGACGAGGAGCUUGCUCCUCUGAUGUUAGCGGCGGACGGGUGAGUAACACGUGGAUAACCUACCUAUAAGACUGGGAUAACUUCGGGAAACCGGAGCUAAUACCGGAUAACAUGUUGAACCGCAUGGUUCAACAGUGAAAGACGGUCUUGCUGUCACUUAUAGAUGGAUCCGCGCCGCAUUAGCUAGUUGGUAAGGUAACGGCUUACCAAGGCAACGAUGCGUAGCCGACCGGAGAGGGUGAUCGGCCACACUGGAACUGAGACACGGUCCAGACUCCUACGGGAGGCAGCAGUAGGGAAUCUUCCGCAAUGGGCGAAAGCCUGACGGAGCAACGCCGCGUGAGUGAAGAAGGUCUUCGGAUCGUAAAACUCUGUUAUUAGGGAAGAACAAAUGUGUAAGUAACUAUGCACGUAUUGACGGUACCUAAUCAGAAAGCCACGGCUAACUACGUG